rnacentral:lncRNA from 1 species
UCCACGAGCACUUUCACAAGAAGGACAAGAAGCCUGAGCCGUCAAAGCCCGAACCAGAGCCAGAGCCCAAGCCACAGCCAGAACACCAGCCUCCUACACCGACGUACGGUUCAGCAACGCCUCCAAUCUACCAUCCUCCUGCAAUGAACAUGCACUUGACCGAUCACUUCCACAAAGACCACGAGCUCGAGCACUUCUUCGACCACUUCCACAAGAAGCCUGUUGUACCGCCGAAGCCUGAGCCACAGCCGAAACCACAGCCAGAGAGCCAGCCUCCAACACCGACGUACGGGUCAGCAACGCCCACAAACGGGUCCCCAACUCCUGUGAGCAACCAUGCUCCGCACAUGUUCCAUCACUUCUACAAGGGUCACCAUGACCACCACUUCUUCGACUACUUCCACAAGAAGCCUGUGCCACCAGAGCCUAAGCCAGAGCCCAAGCCGCAGCCAGAUAACCACCCUCCCGUGCCAACGUUUGGCUCGCCUCCUCCACUCUACCACGCUCCGGCCAAACAUUGAGUCCGUUUUGUU